rnacentral:rRNA from 1 species
AGUGAACGCUGGCGGUAGGCCUAACACAUGCAAGUCGAACGGCAGCACAGUAAGGGCUUGCUCUUACGGGUGGCGAGUGGCGGACGGGUGAGGAAUACAUCGGAAUCUACUUUUUCGUGGGGGAUAACGUAGGGAAACUUACGCUAAUACCGCAUACGACCUACGGGUGAAAGCAGGGGAUCUUCGGACCUUGCGCGAUUGAAUGAGCCGAUGUCGGAUUAGCUAGUUGGCGGGGUAAAGGCCCACCAAGGCGACGAUCCGUAGCUGGUCUGAGAGGAUGAUCAGCCACACUGGAACUGAGACACGGUCCCCACUCCUACGGGAGGCAGCGGUGGGGAAUAUUGGACGAUGGGCGCGAGCCUGAUCCAGCCAUACCGCGUGGGUGAAGAAGGCCUUCGGGUUGUAGAGCCCUUUUGUUGGGAAAAAAAAACAACAGGUUAAUCCCCCGCUGUUCUGACGGUACCCAAAGAAUAAGCACCGGCUAACUUCGUG